AUUGAACGCUGGCGGCAGGCCUAACACAUGCAAGUCGAGCGAGCGGCGGACGGGUGAGUAAUGUCUGGGAAACUGCCUGAUGGAGGGGGAUAACUACUGGAAACGGUAGCUAAUACCGCGUAUCAUCUGAUGUGCCCACAUGGGAUUAGCUGGGAGGUGGGGUAACGGGUCACCUAGGCGACGAUCCCUAGCUGGUCUGAGAGGGUAACCCGCCACACUGGACAUGAGACACGGCCCAGACUCCUACGGGAGGCAGCAGUGGGGAAUAUUGCACAAUGGGCGCAAGCCUGAUGCAGCCAUGCCGCGUGUGUGAAGAAGGCCUUCGGGUUGUAAAGCACUUUCAGCGGGGAGGCGUUACCCGCAGAAGAAGCACCGGCUAACUCCGUGCCAGCAGCCGCGGUAAUAC
rnacentral:rRNA from 1 species